GGCCGUCUAGCUCAGUUGGUUAGAGCGUCGUGCUAAUAUGUUCCAAAUUGAACAUAGGAUAACGCGAAGGUCUUGGGUUCGACCCCCACGAUGGCCA